rnacentral:piRNA from 2 species
UGCCUAGGGCUCUGGCAUGGUCAUUUCUUU